rnacentral:tRNA from 1 species
GCAAGAAUGGCCGAGUGGUCUAAGGCGCUGCGUUUAGGCCGCAGUUUUCAUGGGUUCGAAUCCCGUUUCUUGUA